UAAAGCUUUCACUCGAGAGGCACAAACGCUUGGUCUCACUCUCAGCAGUCAUCAGUCUGGCGGGAUUCGUCGGCGAUGCUCUGGCGAGAAGAGGGAAUCGCCGGCGUUGAUGGAUCACCGGCCUCUCUUCUGCUUCUCCACGAGUAGGCUAUUCUUUCUCAUUGAGGUUGAAGACAAUUGAAAUGCUAAGAAUGGAUGAUUUUUUUUUUUUUCGAAGCAAUGUGGACAAGCAAUCUUAAGAGCUCAGGUGCUCAGUUUGAGAGAGAAGUUGGGUAAAUUCUCUAUUGUGGAAGUAGUGGAUGAAAGUUUGCUAGAACUUGUUGAUUGUAUCUGAAUGUUCAGAAAGUUGCAGUUCCAAACAUGGCAAUGGAUCAGCAAGAAUUCGAAUUCCGUCCGGGUUGAAGGUAAACAAGAAUCACAAAAGAUCAAAAAGGUUCCAUCUCAGCCAAAUAAUGUAACAGGAAUCAGAUAUUCUUGGGGCACCAGCCAAGGAUAAGCUCUUACUGCCCACACAAGUAGCUUUCUCUUCAAAGAAAGGGUAUUCUUUUUUGUUUGUUUCCUUUUCUUUCUUUCUUUUUUUUAUUUACUUUUUCUUUUCUUUCUUUUUAUUACAGACGUAGUUGAUAGUUUGCAUCAUCCAAAACUUAAAUAUUCUGGCUUGUGAUUGUGACCGUGUUACAAUUUAAAUAUUCCUUUUUCUAUUUUGAUUUAUUAUAUUUAUUGUAAUUAUUGGCAUAAUCGCCAGCCAUCAUCAAGUUGUUUCUUGUAUCAUACGUUGCACUAAUAUUU